GGGACAUCAGAAAUGGGCUUCACACAUUGUACCCAUGUGGGGAAUUGAACCCGGGUCUUCGGCGUGACGAGCGAACGCUUUGACCACUUAUGUACCCUACUGCCCCGCUUCUUAUACUGGUUGAAG